rnacentral:lncRNA from 1 species
AGUUGAGGGGUGAGCGAGUUGCCGAUUCAUUGUUGGCCAGUUAAUAAUCUUCGACAAUAUUUUUGGGGAAUUGUUGUGCAAAGAAAUCAAACCAAAGGCGUUUGUGCAUAUGAACAUUGAGCCACAUGUUGAUGAACCACCACGGGCCUCCUUGGUUGCCGAUGGGUUCACCUAAUAGAAGCUUCUCAGCCACUUGAUGGAGAAGGUGGUAGGCAGAGCCUAGCAAGUAUCGGCCAAGAGGAAAUCGGCCACCAUCGGCUAAUCUUUCUGCUGCCAAUAAGUAGACAGAGGUGGGUUCUAUCGAUCGGCCGCAAAAGAUGAACUUGUCUAGCCACAUGUUCAGAAAAAUAGCGUGUUCCCUCUGACCAACUGGCCCUGUUCUCUAGUACUUUUAGAUAUACCCUGACCAGCCGCCGAUGUUACGGGUUUCUACCUUGCGUUCACCUUUACGGUCGAACAAAUGGCCAUCAUCGGCAGAUGCGAUGUCUAAACCAGUGAGCAUGAGGACAUAGGCCAGAGUGGGGGAAGCUGGGCCAUGGCCGAAAAUGAAAGCGUUUAAGGUGUCUGACCAGAAGUGUGAAGCAGCUAUCAGCAGUGAUUCGUUUCUCUCCAUAUCGGCAAUGGAUAGCCUGAUACACUGAUCUAGUUUACGUUCACCCCAGAAUACUUUGUUUGUGUUGCUAACUCUUAGAAACCAAUCCAUCCAAUCUUUGGUAGAACUUGGCCAAGAUUGGAAGGUAUCUUUUCACAGAUCUAAUGAAAAGUUCUCGGUUCUAAAGGGUAUUCUAUUUGUCUCCGCAAUAAUCAAAUCGGUAGGAUCUGGAUUACCCAAUGGACCGAGGCAUUGAAGGUGGGGUUGCUCGUUAGGGAUAAUAAUUUUCUCGCUCAGUUCCUAAGAGUUUGAGGUUUGGAAGAAUAGAAAGGAAGAAAGAAAAAAGAAAAAAAUGCUAAGUAAAUAGACUUGCAAAAAAUAAAGUGGUGCGAUAAAGGGAAGAAAGAUGGGAAUAGAUUAUCCUCGGGGACGACAAAGUUGACGGCCAUUUCUUCCAGGAGAAGAAGAAGAUCGAAGAUUUGAGAGGUCAUUGGGAAGAUUUUGUUGAAGUUUUCGAGCUCUUCGACAAUGCCGCCGCCAGAGAGGUGAAUUUGGGGAAUGAAGCAUGGCAAGGUAGAGAAAGAGUACCAAGGAAGGAAGUAUUUAUAGGGUGGAUGAGCAGGGGCAUUUCUGACUUACCUCUUUGCCGUAUCCGUGAGUUUCGAGGGUAUUCAGGUGGAUUUGGUAACUAUUCGCAAGAUAAUCAAGGGAUUGUGUGGGUGAUAUGACAGCAAGCGGUCAUGAUUUUUGGAGAUAUUUUACUGUGCAGGAUCUCCUGGUCGGUUCAUCGGCAGUUCACUCUAAUGAAAUAGUUGCCAAUGAGCGGGUGUUUAGGAGAUUUGGUUCGAAAGGUUGAGAGAUUCGAGGUGCAUGCUGG